UUGGAGGGCAAGUCUGGUGCCAGCAGCCGCGGUAAUUCCAGCUCCAAUAGCGUAUAUUAAAGUUGUUGCAGUUAAAAAGCUCGUAGUUGAAUUUCGGGGUCAGUAGAUUGGUCAUGCCACUGGUAUGUACUGGUCCCACUGAUUCCUCCUUCCUGAUGAGCCGUAAUGCCAUUAAUUUGGUGUUGCGAGGAAUCUGGACUGUUACUUUGAAAAAAUUAGAGUGUUUAAAGCAGGCUAACGCUUGAAUACAUUAGCAUGGAAUAAUGAAAUAGGACGUUCGAUCUUAUUUUGUUGGUUUCUAAGAUUGACGUAAUGAUUAAUAGGGAUAGUUGGGGGCAUUAGUAUUCAAUUGUCAGAGGUGAAAUUCUUGGAUUUAUUGAAGACUAACUACUGCGAAAGCAUUUGCCAAGGAUGUUUUCAUUAAUCAAGAACGAAAGUUAGGGGAUCGAAGACGAUCAGAUACCGUCGUAGUCUUAACCAUAAACUAUGCCGACUAGGGAUCGGAUGAUGUUAAUUUUUUAAUGACUCAUUCGGCGCCUUACGGGAAAC
rnacentral:rRNA from 2 species